CAGGGUUUAGCUUAGCACAGUAAAGCAUCUCUUUUACACCGAGAAGUCCCUCGUGCAAACCGAGGCCCCCUGA
rnacentral:tRNA from 2 species